rnacentral:misc_RNA from 1 species
AUGAAAUUCUCAACCCAUAAGUCCUUGUGAUCUAUGGGCUUGGAUUUGGAGGCUUGCUGGYCCUAGCGGUCGGCUCCUCUUGAAUGCAUUAGCUUGAUUCCGUGCGGAUCGGCUCUCAGUGUGAUAAUUGUCUACGCUGUGACCGUGAAGCGUUUUGGCAAGCUUCUAACCGUCCAUUAGGACAAUCUUUCAACAUCU